ACCCAGUUAAAAAGAGUGCGUUGUGUAGAACAGUCAUAAGCAGUCCGCUAAGAGAUUAGUAGCAACUACGAAGUGAAGUCGCAAACAUGUGCAAGGCUGUUGUAGAUUGUAAAGAAAGAAUGAAGGAUUGGAAGAGUGUGAGGAGACGCUGAGCAAACGGCCUUCAAAUCGAAAGUGGUGUGAGUCAUGGGCGCUGCCACCAUCUAUGCGAAAAGCCCACCAAGCAUUGGUCACGGAGCACACUCGUUUCCUGCUCCUCGCACGUUAAUGGCAACGAUGAUGAGGAACGGAACACAAACAAGAAACUACGUCGCAGUGGGUCACUGAAUGAAUCCGCGUCCCGGUAGCAACAAUAGUUCGACUAUGGCUGGUACUGGUAAAGAAGAAUCCCGAACACGAUCGUCGCAGUGACGAUGACGUUGCGUUGUAGAAUUACUGAGUGAGUCUCAACGUCUGUCCGAGUCCCCCCACGUCCACCGCCAGGCACUGAGUUCCGCAAACCAGCCGAUGGCCGAUUCUACACAGAUCGCCGGAGCAGGGAGCAGCAGCAGCAAACACCACCGAGUCUCCUCUGCAUGCCAAUGCCCAUGCAAUUCAGUCGCAGCGGACAGAACAUUGGGGACAAGGCGGAAUGCGCGCGGCAGCAGCUCCAGCUCGCAUCAGCUUACCUGCGUUUGAAGCUCUCGUGCUGUUGCCAACCACCGACAAUCACCACCUAUUCUGCAUUGAACGCUUCGCAGCUGCUGAUCACCACCCACCCAUCCGCACAGAUACACGGUAUUUGGUAUAUCAGCUGCGAACAAAAUAUUGCUUUUUAAACAAAAUUCCAGAGAAAAGAACAGCGGAGCAUUCAUUUAUCAUCGAAACGACAUUGAGGAACUGCUGUAAUCCUUUCGGGUGAACACCGUGUGCGAUUGUUAUUGUGAUAUACAAUUGAAAGGCAGUCGUCGAGUUUUUAUCUUUCUGUCUUCGCUCGGUACACUUUUCUGGACUUCUCUUUCACCGUUUGUGAUUUUGGCAAGCGAUUAUUGGACCCCUUUCCAUUCAAACUCCCCAUCUUCCUAAUCAAUAGGCUAGAUAAGGCCGCUUAAAUCUUUGUAGCUGCAUGUCACAGUUGAUCGGUUCCUGUGGGUGCUUUUGUUUGAUGGGAUUGCUUUGCGGUCUUCAAGUAUUCACGGUCUUGAGGGCUCCAGACGAGGAUCUUUCCAGCAAAUCUAUGCGCAAGCAGGCGUCAAAGAGUUUGUAGACUAGGCACGACCAUCACAUUUCGUUUUUUUUUUUUUUUUAUAGCGUUGCAUCGCAGUUGAUCGGUGCCUGCGGGCAUGUAUAAAUGGAAUCUAGCGAGGCGGAAGAUUGAGGUCUUCAAUUCUAUGGCCCCAAACAACGCUCCUGCGACAUCAAUCCCUCAAUUAGAAUAUGUGCAAAGAAGCAUAACUAAUCAACUGAACAAGCGUAAAAGCUAAGAUAUAUGCAACCGAUAUCUUUUCUUUCGUAUUUUGUAGAAAUACAUUUUCAUGGACUGAUAAUCUACAGAGAAUACCAACUCGGCGCUAUGGGCCCGCCCAAUACAUGUAAAUUUGUGAUUUUAUGUCCAAAAUAUUUUUUGUCUUGUAGCAUUAUGGGUGCAGUUGAAUGUACCUGCCCAUAAUUAAAGCCUGCAAAUCAAGAGUUAUUGUUAAACGCAAGAGGGAACAUUUUGAACAGACUCAAAUCUGUACACGGCCUCUGUAAGGAAUGUGCAAUCGAUACCCUUUUCUCUCGUAUUUUAUAGAAAUACAUGUUGUGGAACAGUUUAGAUGCUAUGGAAUUGUACCACGUAGUUGGACCACCACACAAAUUUAAUUAAAGUAUGGAGAAAAACUUUUUUCUGUUUUCAAGCUGUUCCCGUUGAAUGUGCCUGCCCACAUCUCAUCUAUAGCUUCUGAGUAAAUCCAACAGCGAACCGUCUAUUCUUGGGACUUUAACAGCGUUUGAGAAAUGACGCUUAUUUAUGAAUUCAUUGCAGUGUUUAUACAGAGACAUCGGUUUCAAGCAACCAGUCUUAUCAAUCACAUAGUUGACAUACCAGUGCACAUUUGCCUGUAUUAAAACCAACCGAGAACAUGUAGCAAAAUUUCUUGAGGCAAUGGGAAUCAAAUGCCAACUUGAAAGCAAUAACACCAACACUAAGUCGUCGCAGUCCAACAUCCAUACUACACGGCGAAUUCGAAUUGAAGACGCUGGUCAGGUCUGAACCCAACUAGAACCCGCUUACACCUGUUUUUCAGCAAUUUUUCUGGUCAGGAUGUGGAUUAUCUGUCACAGAAACUUCGUUUGUCUUGAGCGUCGCUAAGAUUGGCCGUUUGACCCUCCCAAAAGUGAGAUUCUAAGCAGCCUUAAAUUUAUUUUACAAUUCUUACAGCGGUGCCGCACAGUUGAGUGUGCCUGUGGGCAUCGACUAAGCAAUAUUUGAACCGAAGGGCAGGGCAGUGGACCGUUCCGUUGAUGAUGAUGUGCACCGCUCCGAGCUGGCUAAGUCUACUGCUGUGCUGCUGCAAAUCGUUAAAGGGAACCCAAAACGAUGCAUCAAGUCCAUCCAGUUAGGCUUCUCUUCCAAAGCACAGCUCACCUGCGCUACAACGACAACCAAUUCAAUCGCACCUGCUUCUGCAAGCGAUCACAAUACGUCAAAUGAGCAUCGAGCACAGAAAGCAAGCAAACAACCAGGUUAAUGGCUUCCUCUGCUGACUAUGAAACUAUACGCCUUUACAUUGCAGCCAAGAAGCCUCUUAGUGCAUAUUCAACUACCAGCACAGAGCUUCUCAAUGACUGGAGUAAGCAUUGUUCUGACCGCAUCGGACCCUGACCGAGUCCGACUUGGGUGCCUCUGGUCGCAAGAUCUACAUUAGGACAGAGCCAGAAUAGGAGCGCUUAUCUAGCGCCAUGAUGUGCUGAGCUGAACCUAAGCACGUACUGCAUUGCACCGCACAGAUAUGUGCGUUCGGUCCACGCUAAAGGGAAUCAAAUGCGUUUGGACCGAGAGCCGAUACACCGCACCAUCACCAGUAUUCGCUGUGAAGUGAGCUGAUGUGUUGUCGUUGUUACAGGGCUGCUGCUGCAACUGCUCCACAGGUAUCCUCGCCUAGCGUCGGUAACUAUCAUUUGUCAAUUUUAGCGGCCGGCAGUGUACAUCAAACAUUGAAGUCCGGAGUCCGGAGUGGCAUGUAAUUAACGGCAGAUGUGAAACCAGCAAAUGGUGCUCAAGCAUUCCAUUUUAAAUCUGAAGAUUGUCAGCAGUAACAGUUAAAGACUAUCGACGCAGACUUGCAGAACGAAGCGCAGGAAGGACAAAGCACUUCGAUCACCAGCGGGUUGUCGUUUUACUUGCACUUUCCUUCCGUAGGUAGCCCAGAAUUCGAGAAAGCCCAUAUCCAUCGCAAAGGGAAACAAAUGCGAUUAGUGUUUGAAGACCAAGCUGGGUGUCCAAUGUGUCGCACCACGAUUAGCCAGUUGAGCCCAUAACUCCUGGCCCGCCGAUCAUCGUACCGCAAAAGGGAAUCAAAUGCGAGGUGGUACUACAGCAGUCGAGCUCCUCGUUGAGCUCCUGGUUUAAGUCGAACUCCCAACUGAGCUCCUGGUCGAGUUCUUCGCUUCAGCGUUUUUAUCGUAAAGGGAAUCCAACGCGAUGUACAGCGACAGCGGCAGGCAGGGUCACCCAAUACACAAAGGUAUACCAAUAUGAUCAGAGUUCCAGUCCGUGCAAUUACGCUUUUCAGAACCUCUCAAAAACUAAUCUGCACGUGUCUAAAUCUGGCUGCCAUGCCAGGCGCGACAUCAAUCAUAUUCGCCAUGUUGGUCUCAAAGGGAAUCCAAGAGACACGCGCCCCGCGGUACAACCAACUGAAGACCAAAUAGAUUUUGUUAUGCAUUUAUAACCAAGCAUUUUAGAAGUCAUAUCCUCAUAAUUUUUUCCUUUAGUGUUUCCAAAUCUAUGUAUUCUAAACGAAUCGUUUCAUUAUCUUGUAGGCUUUUAUAAACCUUUAAUUUAUUACUUGUAAACCUUUCCUCUAAGAGUCAAUGCAGACAUCCGACUUCGCUGACGAUUGCAUCGGGACUGCAUUACCCUAGGAUAGACGGUCCGGUCUAGAAGUAGCAGCAAGAGUCAGUUAAAUAUCAGUACCGCUAUUAGCAGAAGAUUCAUGGCAGUAAGAUGAUGUGGAUGCACCGUACAUAGACGUUUCAAACUGCAGAGGAUCGUUUGACCCCCGAACCAAGGCAGGGAGACCAUACAUACACAGGCGGAGGCAGUGCUGACCCUCAAUACAUUCGAGUAUUUCAACACUCUACCUUUUACCUAUAUUUACUGGGCAUUCAAUCACCAAAUUCGCAUCCUGGGUCUAUUUGGAGCAUAUUAAGAACGAACACUACACGGCGUAGGAGCACCACACGAUUUGGUCAUUUUUAUUAUGAGAAGUCCUAAAAUCCUCCUCGGAUCAUUCCUCAUUAUCUGCAUUUGGAGCAACAAGUAGGCUGGAGGUAUCAUUUCUUCACUAAGCACCAUCGAUUUCACACUACUGGCUUGGGAUAGCACCUAAUUCUUUACGAGUUUCGGCACUGAUGACGACUUCAAUCCUUGUUUCAACCCGUACCCCUUCGAACCAAUAUAAAAGUUGGAUUGCAUACAGCUUUCGCUUCGCUACACACUGGUCGAUUCUUUUUCUUUGUGAGGACCCUUCGUGAGGAUAUUAGAUUUGUUGAAGAAUGAUUCUCUAACUUGGACUGCGGCGUGGGAUUCAGUCUAAUUUAACCAUCGACAGCGGCCUAGGAGUAAAUUUGGACAGCGGCGUGGGAUUUUCGGCUCUCAAAGACGACGGCGGCGGACGUACGGAUAGUUCAGACUGCGGCGAGGGAUAUCAAGUUUUUGCAACGCGGGAUUAUUAGGGCGUUUAGGCCAGGGCGCUAGGAACCAUAUUCUUAAGACUACUGGAAUUUACAUCAAUGGAGAUGACUGCGGCGUGGGAGACGGAGAUCGGGACUGCAGCGAGGGAUCGAGGUUCUGGACAGCGGCGCGGGAUUCUUAUAAGAUUGGACGGCGGCGUGGGACCUUUUUUGACGGCAGCGUGGGAGUUUAGGACUGCAGCGCGGGAAUUUCUGACGGCGGCGAGGGAUCCUCGGUUUAAUUUUUCGGCAAUUGGUCAGCCAUCGCAUUCCAUAUACAUGCGUGUCACUCCAUUUAUUGAUAGUUCAAAGCUGAUAUACUUAGGUGGCGUGAUCAGCGUAAUCACGCCUCCAAAAAUACGCAUCCCUGAUUAUCCCUUAUAUGGAAAAUCUUCAUUGAAUAUACAUUUAUUUACACUUCUGGAAUACCGGAAAGCAACCCCAAUACUUAUGCCGAUGAUUCUAAUACAUGAAACGAUUUAAGAUCACAAUAAAUUGAUUUUUGAAAAG
rnacentral:lncRNA from 1 species